CCUACGGGUGGCAGCAGUGGGGGAUAUUGCACAAUGGGGGGAACCCUGAUCCAGCGACGUCGCGUGGGUGAAGGAGCGUUUCGGCGCGUAAAGCCCUAUCUGCCGGGAAGCAGAUGACGGUACCUGACCAAGAAGCCCCGGCUAACUACGUACCAGCAGCAGCGGUUAUACGUAGGGGGCAAGCGUUAUCCGGAUUUACUGGGUGUAAAGGGGGCGCAGACGGCAAUGCAAGCCAGGAGUGAAAGCCCGGGGUCCAACCCCGGGUCUGCUGUUGGAACUGCAUGGCUGGAGUACAGGAGGGGCAGGCGGAAUGCCUGGUGUAGCGGUGAAAUGCGUAGAUAUUAGGAGGAACACCGGUGGCGAAGGCGGCGUACUGGACUGUGACUGACGUUGAGGCCCGAAGGCGUGGGGAGCAAACAGGAUUAGAUACCCUAGUAGUC
rnacentral:rRNA from 1 species